AUGUUGAGAUCAAUCACAAACAUCAUUGCGGCGGUGGAGCACUUGCUCAGCAGCAACAGCAACAGAGGCGGGGGCGGGCGCGGAGAGGAAGACCCUGGGGAGGAGAGGUUGAGCAGGGCCAACGCGGCGAUGAAGACCCUGGGCCAGAGUGGCGACGAAGACCCAGCGCCGCGACGGCGACCAAAAUUGUCCGCGGCGACGGCGGCCAAGGCGGACCAAAUCGAGGACCUAGUCAUCAAUUUACUGCUUCUUGGCACGAUUCAGAGGGAGGUGACGAAGAGGAAGAACUUUAGGAGCAAUCCCGCUGCUCAGGUAGGCGAGGGCACACCCAUGGCGGCUGCGCGCAGCUGGGCGGCGGCGCAAGGCGCCUCCGUGGAGGUUCUGCGCGUCUCCUCCGCGACGACGCAGGUCGUCUCCUGCACAGGCGGCUGGGUCCUGCAACACGCGGAGACUCUCUCUGGGUGCUGA
rnacentral:rRNA from 1 species